UCUUAAGUAGUUUAACUAAAAUGUUGAUUUGUGGUGUCAGAGAUGUAAUUUUUACCUUGGGUA
rnacentral:tRNA from 1 species